rnacentral:rRNA from 1 species
GGACUACUCGGGUAUCUAAUCCUGUUUGCUCCCCUAGCUUUCGUGCAUCAGUGUCAGGUGUUGUCCAGGGACUCGCCUUCGCCGCUGGUGUUCCUCUCGAUAUCUACGCAUUUCACUGCUACACCGAGAAUUCCAGUCCCCCCUCCAACCCUCCAGCAGGAUAGUAUUCAAUGCAUUUUCCGGGUUGAGCCCGGAGAUUUCACAUCAAACUUACCCCGCCACCUACGCACCCUUUACGCCCAGUGAAUCCGAACAACGCUUGGGACCUCUGUAUUACCGCGGCUGCUGGCAC